CUCUCUCCCUCUCCCUCUCUCUCUCUCUUCUCCUCCUCUCUCUUUUCUCUCCAUUGACAUCUCACACAAACACACGAGCACCACCAGCGACCACCACCAGCCAUUGCCCCUCUGAUGAUGUUAGUUACACGAGCACCAAUUGAUUGAUUUCGAGCUUGGCAUUUGAUUUUAAUUCCGAUGCUUGAAUUAAUUCGUUUCAUUUCAACUUUAUGAUCUCAAGCAGCAAGGAUUCAUAGAGAGACAGGAGCUUAUGAGGUAUUUUGAAUUGUGUUGUGUUUAUGGCUCUUCAAUGAAAAUUUCUAUUGAUUUGGUUAUGUAACAUGUUUUGAUGGUUUGAAUGUCUCUGUUCUUACAGAAAUUGUUUCCAAUUGUUAGUUGAAUUUUGAUGGAGAUAUUAGUUGCUUAUUUAGUAUUAUUAAAUUUAACUGCUAUGCUUGACAACUGAUUCACCGUAUGCUGUAUUACUUGUACGACUAUGUAAUAUUGAAGUUCACACUAUUUCAUGGGUUUUAAGAAUCCUAUGAGCCCUUGCCUGUGCUUGAAGAUCAA